AAGCUGACUGCGGAGGAUCAUUA
rnacentral:rRNA from 1 species